AUUGAACGCUGGCGGCAGGCCUAACACAUGCAGGUCGAGCGGAUGAAGGGAGCUUGCUCCUGGAUUCAGCGGCGGACGGGUGAGUAAUGCCUAGGAAUCUGCCUGGUAGUGGGGGAUAACGUCCGGAAACGGGCGCUAAUACCGCAUACGUCCUGAGGGAGAAAGUGGGGGAUCUUCGGACCUCACGCUAUCAGAUGAGCCUAGGUCGGAUUAGCUAGUUGGUGGGGUAAAGGCCUACCAAGGCGACGAUCCGUAACUGGUCUGAGAGGAUGAUCAGUCACACUGGAACUGAGACACGGUCCAGACUCCUACGGGAGGCAGCAGUGGGGAAUAUUGGACAAUGGGCGAAAGCCUGAUCCAGCCAUGCCGCGUGUGUGAAGAAGGUCUUCGGAUUGUAAAGCACUUUAAGUUGGGAGGAAGGGCAGUAAGUUAAUACCUUGCCGUUUUGACGUUACCAACAGAAUAAGCACCGGCUAACUUCGUG
rnacentral:rRNA from 1 species